GGGCGCCAGCUUGACCUUCUCCUGUCCCCGCAGCAGCGUCUCCGUCGGUGGCCAGCGGGAGCGCCGGGGUGUCCGCGGAAGGCAGCCUUGCCACCACUACGGAGGGGAGCCCCGACUUGGAGGACAGCAAGGCCAGCUCCUCUGGCCCGGUCACCCAGCAGAUGACAGCCAUGAGCAUCUCCCGUGACGAUGGCGCCUCUGAGUCGGACCAAGCCGAAAAAGAGGAAGAGGAGGGUGGCCCCAGAGUUGCAGGGGCGGCUCUGGACACGGCGCAGGGCUCCGCCGAGGGCAGCGACAAGACACCUGACAAGAGCAAGAAGAAGAACCGCUGCUUCACCUGCCGUAAGAA